rnacentral:rRNA from 1 species
GUCUGCCGAUGGGUACGCACUGGUCGAACUCGUUCCUUCCUUCCGGAGACCGUGCCUACUCUUAACUGAGCGGGGGCGGGAGACGGAACGUUUACUUUGAAAAAAUCAGAGUGUUUCAAGCAGGCAGCUCGCUCUUGCAUGGAUUAGCAUGGGAUAAUGAAAUAGGACUUUGGUGCUAUUUUGUUGGUUUCGAACACCGAAGUAAUGAUUAGAAGGGACAGUCAGGGGCACUCGUAUUCCGCCGAGAGAGGUGAAAUUCUCAGACCAGCGGAAGACGAACCACUGCGAAAGCAUUUGCCAGGGAUGUUUUCACUGAUCAAGAACGAAAGUUAGGGGAUCGAAGACGAUCAGAUACCGUCGUAGUCUUAACCAUAAACCAUGCCGACUAGGGAUUGGAGGAUGUUCACUGAUUGACUCCUUCAGCCCCUUACGGGAAACUAAAGUCUUUGGGUUCCGGGGGGAGUAUGGCCGCAAGGCUGAAACUUAAAGGAACUGACGGAAGGGCACCACCAGGUGUGGAGCCGGCGGCUUAAUUUGACUCAACACGGG